UCCAGGCGGNAACUUCACGCGUUAGCUGCGGUACUGANUGGUUUUACCCACCCAACACCUAGUUGACAUCGUUUAGGGCGUGGACUACCAGGGUAUCUAAUCCUGUUUGCUACCCACGCUUUCGUGCAUGAGCGUCAGUAUNGGCCCAGGGGGCCGCCUUCGCCAGUGGUGUUCCUCCANAUCUCUACGCAUUUCACUGCUACACGGGGAAUUCCACCCCCCUCUGCCACACUCUAGCCUUGCAGUCACAAGCGCAUUUCCCAGGUUGAGCCCGGGGAUUUCACGUCUGUCUUACAAAACCGCCUGCGCGCGCUUUACGCCCAGUAAUUCCGAAAAACGCUCGCACCCUACGUAUUACCGCGGCUGCUGGCACGUAGUUAGCCGGUGCUUCUUAUGGGGGUACCGUCAUCCACACNGGGUAUUAACCNAUACGAUUUCUUCCCGGCCAAAAGAGCUUUACAACCCGAAGGCCUUCUUCACUCACGCGGGAUGGGUGGAUCAGGGUUGCCCCCAUUGUCAAAAAUUCCCCA
rnacentral:rRNA from 1 species